AACGCACAUUGCGCCCACUGGUAUUCCGGUGGGCAUGCCUGUCCGAGCGUCAUUGCACCUAUCAAGCAAGACUUGGUGUUGGGGGCCCGGCAUCCGUCAGAAGAUACCCCCCCGUAAGACCCCGGCGGAGUCGGUUGCCGCACCGCGACGUGUUAGAAUCGCCCCUAGGGGUUACGUCCAGGAGUGUGGCACGGUCACCAGCCGUUGAGAUACACCACCGGGGCUUCGACCACCGGUGGGACCAUCACAAGGUUGACCUCGGAUCAGGUAGGGAUACCCGCUGAACUUAA
rnacentral:misc_RNA from 1 species